rnacentral:sRNA from 1 species
AUUCUACCCAUGUGGGGAAGGAUGAGAAGCUUCGACUAAGGUUCGAUUCGAGCGAAAGCGAGAAAGCGUUGCCGCAGGCAACGGCCCGAAGGGCGAAGCGCGCAGCGCUGAGUCAUCCUUCCCCCACCACCA